rnacentral:rRNA from 1 species
UACGGGGGGAGCAAGCGUUGUUCGGAUUUACUGGGCGUAAAGGGCGCGUAGGCGGCCAGCACAAGUCAGUUGUGAAAUCUCCGAGCUUAACUCGGAACGGUCAACUGAUACUGUGCGGCUAGAGUGCAGAAGGGGCAACUGGAAUUCUUGGUGUAGCGGUGAAAUGCGUAGAUAUCAAGAGGAACACCUGAGGUGAAGACGGGUUGCUGGGCCGACACUGACGCUGAUGCGCGAAAGCCAGGGGAGCAAACGGG